GGUUUAAACCCAGUAUCUCAAGGUACUAAGGAGUUCUGACCGGUGAUUAAUUUCGCUGUGUCGAAACCUGAAUUUUUGGGUGGCUUUCUCGGGGUUAUCCGGGAGGCGAU
rfam:Heterorhabditis bacteriophora unplaced genomic scaffold Scaffold1006, whole genome shotgun sequence.